CCAUGUAUUAAUCUCUAUAUAUUAUGUUUGAAUUAUGAUGAUCAUUGCAUAUCAAAAUCAAAUUAAAUUUGAAAUUAAUUCACAGGUGAUGGAAACGUAACUUGUGCUGAAUAUGCAGCUGCAACUUCACAACCACAUGCUCUAGCACUUGAGAUUUUCCACCAUUAUGAUCAAGAUGGAGAUUGUAUCAUGAGUCAUGCAGAUGCAUUGGCUACACUUCGUCAAAUCGACCAAAACGGUAUUUAUGUAUUGAUAACACCUUAUAUAAGAAAGCCAGAAUUUGAUUGGUUGAUAGCCAGUGUAAAAAUCGACCAAAACGGUAUUUAUGUAUUAAUAACACCUUAUAUAGAAAAGCCAAAUUUGAUUGUUGAUAGCAGUGUAAAAAUCGACCAAAACGGUUAUUUGUAUUAAUAAACACUUAUAUAAGAAAGCCAGAUUUUGAUUGGUUGAUAGCCAGUGUAAAAAUCGACCAAAACGGUAUUUAUGUAUUAAUAACACCUUAUAUAAGAAAGCCAGAUUUUGAUUGGUUGAUAGCCAGUGUAUUUUUCGCAUAUUCUAAUAUUUUUGCCUCAUUUCAAACAAAUUGCCUGUUUUUCACCACUGCCGGUGAAUAUGCAUCAAAUGCAUGGCAGUGGUGAAAAACACUAGCGGCUUGGGAAAUUUUACAGUCCCUUGACUGGUUUUUUUUUCGCAAAUGCCCCUCCUUAACAUAAUAUAUCUGUUCAAUAUACGAAAUUAUUUUAAGUAAAACGCUAUUCGCACUCGUGUCGUUAUAUUUUAGAUUGAUUUGUAAUCGUUUUAUUACGCCAUAUUUGUUUUUUUUUUCAAUUUCUUCCACUUUCUUUGUCUACAAAUCCAAUAUUUGAUAUUAAUUCUUACGGACAGAGAACAUAUAUCUUUAGUUAUGAACUUUAUAUAUAGAAUAUUCUCCCAUAUGUUGAGUUUAAGUUUUGUACCAAAUGUAGACACUAGAAAAGGUUACGAAAAUGUAUUUGCCGUUGAGCCAUCUAAGCGCGGUCACAAAUUAUUUCUUUAAUUGCAAAAUUGGAACGAGAAACCAAAUCUUUGCUUAGAUGACCAAACUGCAAACAAAUACUUCAACAAAUGAAACUAAAAAAAAUCCUUUUUUAAACAGGUGAUGGAACUGUGAAUGAACACGAGUUUGAACAUUAUUACACACAGGUAAAGUCUAAAUAAUUUACAUGGUGCAGAACACAUUGUUAAAUACCAAACUUAUUUCUAUUAAUUGCACAUGUAUCUAAUUUGUAAUAAUUUUGAAUAUCAGUGAAUUAAAACAUUUGGAAUUACAUGUGAGAACUUUUAUUCGUGUUUAAAGUAAAAGAUGUGUUUAAUCAUUUGAUUAGGGACUUUCCGUUUUGAAUUUCCUCGGAGUUCAGUAUUUUUGUGAUUUUACUUUACUGAAGGGUAUUGAUUUGACUUCUCAUUUGUUUGAUACAUCUUCCGGUAUGUGAUUAUACUUAUUUAUUUCUUGUCAUCUGUAGAUAAUGAAGCAUCUUGGACAUAUUCCACACGGCCAUAAUGGAAGAUAAGGUAAUUUUAGUGUUCCUUUUUUCUAUUGAUAUAUUAUUAAAAACAUGACAUGUCUUC
rnacentral:lncRNA from 1 species